CAGAAGAUAUUCUAAUUUAGGAUCCCGGCUUUGGGGGCGGGGGGUGGGAAUUAUAUUUCUCUCUUCUGA
rnacentral:tRNA from 1 species